rnacentral:rRNA from 1 species
UAGGGAAUCUUCCACAAUGGACGAAAGUCUGAUGGAGCAACGCCGCGUGAGUGAAGAAGGUUUCGGAUCGUAAAGCUCUGUUGUUGGUGAAGAAGGAUAGAGGCAGUAACUGGUCUUUAUUGACGGUAAUCAACCAGAAAGUCACGGCUAACUACGUGCUAG